rnacentral:rRNA from 1 species
AUUGAACGCUGGCGGCAGGCCUAACACAUGCAAGUCGAGCGGAUGAAGGGAGCUUGCUCCUGGAUUCAGCGGCGGACGGGUGAGUAAUGCCUAGGAAUCUGCCUCGUAGUGGGGGAUAACGUCCGGAAACGGGCGCUAAUACCGCAUACGACGUGCGGGAGCAAGUGGGGGAUCUUCGGACCUCACGCUCUCAGAUGAGCCUAGGUCGGAUUUGCUAGUUGGUGGGGUAAAGGCCUACCAAGGCGAGGAUCCGUAACUGGUCUGAGAGGAUGAUCAGUCACACUGGAACGGAAACACGGUCCAGACUCCUACGGGAGGCAGCAGUGGGGAAUAUUGGACAAUGGGCGAAAGCCUGAUCCAGCCAUGCCGCGUGUGUGAAGAAGGUCUUCGGAUUGUAAAGCACUUUAAGUUGGGAGGAAGGGCAGUAAGUUAAUACCUUGCUGUUUUGACGUUACCAACAGAAUAAGCACCGGCUAACUUCGUG